AAUGAACGCUGGCGGCGCGCCUAAUACAUGCAAGUCGAGCGAGAAGACGUAGCAAUACGUUUGUAAAGCGGCGAACGGGUGAGGAAUACAUGGGUAACCUACCCUAGAGUGGGGAAUAACUAGCCGAAAGGUUAGCUAAUACCGCGUACGCUCCUUGGACUUCGGUUCAGGGAGGAAAGCGAUGCCGAGGGUAUCGCGCUCUUGGAUGGGCUCAUGUUCUAUCAGCUGUUGGUGAGGUAACGGCUCACCAAGGCUUCGACGGGUAGCUGGUCUGAGAGGACGAUCAGCCACACUGGCACUGCGACACGGGCCAGACUCCUACGGGAGGCAGCAGUAAGGAAUAUUGCGCAAUGGGACGAAAGCCU
rnacentral:rRNA from 1 species